AAAUUAGUUAGCACCUAAUAUAUAUAUACUGUAGUGAAUUUAAUAAAUCUAAUAUUGAUUGCAUGAUAUUCAAUCGACUUGUCUCAGUGAUUGUAAAAUCAAAACAACUCGUUGGUAAACCUAAAUAAUUUUUCAGCUUAGAAAAUAUCAUAUAUACUUUGGCGUUGGUCAACAUUAACGGAAAAGAAAAUAUAUCAAACUAUGCAUUCCAAAACUCAAAUACAGCACAACCUUCCAAAACUCAAAAUACAGCACAACCUUACAAAACUCUAAUGCACUUUUACGUGUUUAUAUACAAAACAUAUAAGAAGUGAGUAACAAUGAUUGUGUGGUUAGCCCAAAGUGUGGACCCUAUACAGCGUGAUAUAAUUGCAUUGCUUUUAGUUUCUCAAAUGCAAGGAUCGUGUCAUUCAUGCAUAUUAGCCCACCCACCUCCAUUCACAUGUUUCCAACGUCAC
rnacentral:lncRNA from 1 species